CCUACGGGUGGCAGCAGUGGGGAAUAUUGGACAAUGGGCGCAAGCCUGAUCCAGCCAUGCCGCGUGAGUGAUGAAGGCCUUAGGGUUGUAAAGCUCUUUUACCGGGGAAGAUAAUGACGGUACCCGGAGAAUAAGCCCCGGCUAACUUCGUGCCAGCAGCCGCGGUAAUACGAAGGGGGCUAGCGUUGUUCGGAAUUACUGGGCGUAAAGCGCACGUAGGCGGCUUUCUAAGUCAGGGGUGAAAUCCUGGAGCUCAACUCCAGAACUGCCUUUGAUACUGGAAAGCUUGAGUUUGGGAGAGGUGAGUGGAAUUCCGAGUGUAGAGGUGAAAUUCGUAGAUAUUCGGAAGAACACCAGUGGCGAAGGCGGCUCACUGGCUCGAUACUGACGCUGAGGUGCGAAAGCGUGGGGAGCAAACAGGAUUAGAUACCCUUGUAGUC
rnacentral:rRNA from 1 species